ACCCCGCGCCUUGGAAAAUUAAGCAUAUCAAUAAGCGGAGGAAAAGAAACCAACAGGGAUUGCCCUAGUAACGGCGAGUGAAGCGGCAACAGCUCAAAUUUGAAAUCUGGCUCUUUUAGGGUCCGAGUUGUAAUUUGCAGAGAGCGCUUUGGCGUUGGCAGCGGUCCAAGUUCUUUGGAACAGGACGUCACAGAGGGUGAGAAUCCCGUACGUGGUCGCUAGCCUUCGCCGUGUAAAGCCUCUUCGACGAGUCGAGUUGUUUGGGAAUGCAGCUCUAAAUGGGAGGUAAAUUUCUUCUAAAGCUAAAUACUGGCCAGAGACCGAUAGCGCACAAGUAGAGUGAUCGAAAGAUGAAAAGCACUUUGGAAAGAGAGUCAAAUAGCACGUGAAAUUGUUGAAAGGGAAGCGCUUGCAGCCAGACUUGCCUGUAGUUGCUUAUCCGGACUUUUGUCCGGUGCACUCUUCUGCGGGCAGGCCAGCAUCAGUUUAGGCGGUUGGAUAAAGGUCUCUAUCACGUACCUCCCUUCGGGGUUGGCCUUAUAGGGGAGACGACAUGCAGCCAGCCUGAACUGAGGUCCGCGCAUCUGCUAGGAUGCUGGCGUAAUGGCUGUAAGCGGCCCGUCUUGAAACACGGACCAAGGAGUCUAACAUCUAUGCGAGUGUUUGGGUGUCAAGCCCAGACGCGUAAUGAAAGUGAACGGAGGUGGGAACCUUUUAGGUGCACCAUCGACCGAUCCUGAUGUCUUCGGAUGGAUUUGAGUAAGAGCAUGGCUGUUGGGACCCGAAAGAUGGUGAACUAUGCUUGAAUAGGGUGAAGCCAGAGGAAACUCUGGUGGAGGCUCGCAGCGGUUCUGACGUGCAAAUCGAUCGUCAAAUUUGGGCAUAGGGGCGAAAGACUAAUCGAACUAUCUAGUAGCUGGUUCCUGCCGAAGUUCCCCUCAGGA
rnacentral:rRNA from 1 species